UAUUCUCCGUGAGGAAUUCUACACUAUCACACUUGCACCACGUCAUUAAUAACAAGCCAAUUAUAUUCCUAAUUUUCAAAUAAAAGUAUAAUAAAAAUAUUUUUUUACAAUCAUGAUAAGACAUAUAUUUCUGAAAAGAGAUAUUUGAUUGACUUGUUACGUCACGUCAACAAUGUCAACAAUAUACCACCCGUUGUAUUCUAAAAUUUUUUCC
rnacentral:lncRNA from 1 species